rnacentral:lncRNA from 1 species
AGAUGAUGACUUGACUGUCUUAAUGAAACUAAAGUUUCAGUAGUUUUCUUACAGGACAUAUUCUUCCUAUUCAUGACAUCUGGUCGAGACCCCGGGAUUGUCCCUAGAAGUUUAAAGCCUCCUGAAUCAGAUGAUGUACCUGAUUCAACUACUCCUUCCAUGGAAUGGGUUAGUGGUAGAACACCAAAUAUAAGGCUACCAAGAGUCAAAGAUGUUAAGGUUAAUGGCCAUACCGUAAAAGUCAAGUUCUGUGACACUUGUUUGCUUUACCGUCCACCUCGUGCUUCUCAUUGUUCCAUCUGCAACAACUGUGUACAGAGAUUUGAUCAUCACUGCCCUUGGGUUGGUCAGUGCAUUGGACUGGUAAGUUAAGUAAAUGUCUUAAAUUUUAAGGGAGCCUUAAGUAAUCUUAAGUAAUACGCAAAGGUUAUGGUCAGUCCAUUUAUUGUUGAUUAAUUUUAGUUUAGAAUCUAAUUUAACAUGGUAUCAAAAUCCAGAUCCGGAACAUUCUAAAACCCUAAUCGAUAUAACCUUCUAGCCGGUACAACUGUUAUACUAGACCCUUUCGACCGAGCAUAACUGUUGUACUAAUCCCCUUGACCGUGUAUAAAUAUCUUAAAUUUUGAGAUUUCUGACCGAUAAGAACCAAUCAUCGAUGGUAUGUGAGAUAAAUCUGGAGUUUAAAAGAAUUAAGUAAUAUAUAAAGAGUUAAAAUCAGUCUACUUGCUACCAAUUAGUUUUUAAUUGGAAGCCUAUGAUAAACACGAGUUUAACAAAAUGAGUUUGUUUUUAGAUGUUUCUUGAGAACUAUGUGUUUUGAGAAUGUUCCAACUCUCUUUUUUGUUGCAGAGAAAUUACCGGUUCUUCUUCAUGUUUAUAUCAACAUCAACCACUCUGUGCAUAUAUGUGUUUGCGUUUUCUUGGAUGAACAUAUUUCAAAGACAUAUGGAUGAGAGGAUUAGCAUCUGGAAAGCUAUAUCUGAAGAUGUUUUAUCGGAUAUUCUCAUAGUUUACUGCUUCAUUACCGUUUGGUUUGUUGGUGGACUCACUAUAUUUCAUUCUUAUCUCAUCUGCACUAACCAGGUGAUUAGAAAGAUCCAUCUCUUUAUUCAAUCUUUCGUGUUUAAGAUUCAUCUAAUGGUGAAUCUGUUUUGUGCAGACUACUUAUGAGAAUUUUCGGUACCGAUAUGAUAAGAAGGAGAAUCCAUACAACAAGGGGGUACUAGGGAAUAUAUGGGAGAUAUUUCUCUCUAAGAUUCCUCCAUCUAUGAACAAGUUUAGAUCAUUUGUGAAGGAAGAAGACUAUAUGAUGGUUGAAACUCCUACUUCAAAUCCAGGCCAAAGUCUAGUUAACUCGAAAGAGAAGAUAGAUAUUGAAAUGGGAGGUGGAAGGGUUGUUGAUGAGGGUAGAAAAAGUUACUCACUCCCUGAGCUUCUCAGGAAUCUAAACUAUGAAGACCUUGAGGAUGAUUGUGAGGAGGAUGACUUGAAGUCCAAAGAUCAUCAUCACCACCACCAUCAUGAUCAGAAUGAGGCAAUCAUCCCUCCUUUUGACCCUUUUUUUACCAGUGAAAGUGGUGUUAACAAGGAUCAGAGAGAGGGACAAGAGUCAAGAGGAUCUUCAAGUGAUGAUGAUGGAUUUGCAGGGAAGCGCGUUGGAGUCUCGAGUGAUGAUGAAGAAAAGAAUGAAGGGUAUGAACAAAAAUGGAGUGCCGGAAGUGUAUAUACAAACGCAAGAUCUGAAGAUGGAACAAGCUCUCCUCAGUCUACUUCACCAAUGCUUCGUAAAUAGAGGUAACAAAAUUAAGACUCACCUCUCUUAUCUAUGUGUUACUUGCUCUAGAAGAAACCAAUUGUCUCAGCCCUAACAGUACUCUCUUUGUAACUUGCUAGAGAAGGGCUUGAAGCUGGAGAAGUGGAGAUCGUUCUUUAUCAUUCUUUUAACUGUGUUUCAUAUAAUUG